AAGAGGGUGUGUGUGGAGGGGGUGGGGACCACCGAAUGACAAUGCAACGAGAAACAAGUGCAUUGGUCGACCAGGGUUGCAUCUGUUCGUCCGUAUAUCCGUCCAAAAUAGCAGGAGGAGGCGGGGUCUCCUUUUUCUUCCCCCCUCGCAAACACCAUGCCGCGUAGAUCCGGUCAGAGCUGUUGUGAGAACAGGUCACUCUCUCAGUCUUUCAUGUGUGUGUGUGUGUGUGUGUGUGAGUGUGUGUGUGUUUGAAGGGGGGGAGUGUCGUUAAAGUGUCGAAACGUAAAGCGGGAGAAAUGCAUGUGGAUGUGCUGAACAAGUUUGCGGAGAGGCGAGAGACGGACGACUAUGCGACUAUGCAACAUCCUGAUUCAUGCAUAUGUAAAUACGUACGCAUGCAUACGUCAUGCAUGUGUACGAACAUGCACACAGGGACUCACAGGGACGCACACAGCCCCAGUUCCCAGUCCUCGCUCUGGGGCCGUUUUAUUAGAUAUAUCUUUCUCCUCCGUUCUACCCUUCUUUCCGUCCAAGGUAAUCGGCCCUCAACUCCUGUUGCUUAACUCCACUGCCCAACCCACUUAUGACGUGUUUCAUCGUAGUUCGAGCCCGGGUUACCCAGCCC
rnacentral:lncRNA from 1 species